rnacentral:lncRNA from 1 species
UGGCGCGUGCGCGCGCUGGAGGCCGUUGCACAGCGCUUAGUGCGGGGCCCCGCUCCCUUGCAGACGCGGCCAGGACCGCUAGGCUGGGCAGACCGCGAGGGGGCGCGGGGCCGCGCUCAACUCGGGUGUGUGUAGACCGUCGAGGAUCGCGCCUCGGGCGGCUGCGCGCUACCUCCCUGCACCCAGGCCCCGCCAACAGCGAAACGGAGCAGCGGCGCGGGUCUCCGGGGCGAGGGCGCGGUGUGGAGAGACACUCGGGCUCCGCCGCCGGCGCCUGCGCACUCCGCGCGGCCCCCAGACGGAGUUCUCCAGGGCGCAGAUUUAAAAUUUCCAGUGUUUGUUAUGCUCUGAGAGGGCUCAGAAGAGAAUGA